rnacentral:rRNA from 1 species
AUACGGAGGAUCCGAGCGUUAUCCGGAUUUAUUGGGUUUAAAGGGAGCGUAGGCGGACGCUUAAGUCAGUUGUGAAAGUUUGCGGCUCAACCGUAAAAUUGCAGUUGAUACUGGGUGUCUUGAGUACAGUAGAGGCAGGCGGAAUUCGUGGUGUAGCGGUGAAAUGCUUAGAUAUCACGAAGAACUCCGAUUGCGAAGGCAGCCUGCUGGACUGUAACUGACGCUGAUGCUCGAAAGUGUGGGUAUCAAACAGGAUUAGAUACCCUGGUAGUCCACACAGUAAACGAUGAAUACUCGCUGUUUGCGAUAUACAGUAAGCGGCCAAGCGAAAGCGUUAAGUAUUCCACCUGGGAAGUACGCCGGCAACGGUGAAACUCAAAUGAAUUGACGGGG